GAUGAACGCUGGCGGCGUGCCUAAUACAUGCAAGUCGAGCGAACGGACGAGAAGCUUGCUUCUCUGAUGUUAGCGGCGGACGGGUGAGUAACACGUGGAUAACCUACCUAUAAGACUGGGAUAACUUCGGGAAACCGGAGCUAAUACCGGAUGAUAUUUUUAACCGCAUGGUUCAAAAGUGAAAGACGGUCUUGCUGUCACUUAUAGAUGGAUCCGCGCUGCAUUAGCUAGUUGGUAAGGUAACGGCUUACCAAGGCAACGAUGCAUAGCCGACCUGAGAGGGUGAUCGGCCACACUGGAACUGAGAAACGGUCCAGACUCCUACGGGAGGCAGCAGUAGGGAAUCUUCCGCAAUGGGCGAAAGCCUGACGGAGCAACGCCGCGUGAGUGAUGAAGGUCUUCGGAUCGUAAAACUCUGUUAUUAGGGAAGAACAUAUGUGUAAGUAACUGUGCACAUCUUGACGGUACCUAAUCAGAAAGCCACGGCUAACUACGUG
rnacentral:rRNA from 1 species